CUUCACACACGCUCUCACCACUUACCGCAGUUUACAUGACAUGUACUCGGCAACCUUCAAGGGGAAGCCCGGCGAGGGUGUCGGCCACGACCUGACUAACCACACAAGUCUCUCGUCCAGGUUUAUCGCCUAUUCGGGUUCCAUUCGCAAGGAGAUCCGUCCGGGGUGUCGCUCACGGCCCCAAACGAUGUGUGCAGGGUUCCCAAGCCCACCUCGACGGGUGGAUCUACGCUUGGCACACCGUGCCAGUGUGCCUAGUCUGUCCCAAGCCCACCUGUACCGGGUGCCGCUUGGUAGACUACUAACACUACCUACAAACACCAGAAACUAGUUGCAACUCCUGGACAGAGAUCAUGUUGAUUAAUAAGCCGAGAGGGGCCGAGUUACCGGAACCCAAUGUGUGGUAGUAACUAUUCAUGGAUCACAAACACAGAACUCAGUUCCUAAGGACGGCUGCAAUGAGACAACCCACCAUGUACUCCUACAUGGCCUCUCACCGCUACCUUUACCAAAUCGUGUUCACACACUUAGCUCUCAACAAUAGGACAUGUUCACACACCUCUGAUUCAUCCCCGAUGAAUCAGACCUGACUCAACUCUAAGCAGUAGCAGGCAUGACAAACAAGCAUGAAUGAGUAGGCACAACAGGGCUCAAACAACUCCUACUCAUGCUAGUGGGUUUCAUCUAUUUACUGUGGCAAUGACAGGUCAUGCAAAGGAUAAAGGGGUUCGGCUACCGCAACAAGUAAUAGAUGAAUCGUUGUUGUCCUAAUGGAGUAAAAGAGAGCAGGAGCGAGAGAGUGGGUAUUAUCGGAAUGAACAAGGGGGUUUUGCUUGCCUAACACUUCUGAAGAUAGAAAUAGUUCUUCAUCGGUGUCAUCGAUCUCAUCGUCAGUAUCACGUCUAUCGAGAGGGGACAAAUACCGGCAAACAAGGAAGAACACAAUCAAUGCAAUGCACAAUAUGAUGCAUGAUCAUGACAUGGCAAUAUGCUAUGAUUUGAGCUAAUGCAACUAGCAGCAAGUUAAAUGGAGUUGGUUUGAACCCUAGGUUCAAAUUCAAACUCCACAUGUGAUUAUUUAAAUGCCAUUCAUAUGAUUUGUCCUAAACAGCAACUAUAAGUUGUUCUAACAUUCAUGAAAAUGAUGCAGAUGGAUAGAUUGGAUUUUUCUGAUAAUUUUUCAUAUAUAAAUUAUUUCAUUUGGAGUUAUAGAUUAAUUUAUAUGAUUUUUAGAAGUUAGCACUAUUUUCUGGAAUUUUCUGAAUAAAAAUAAAUCCAGAUAAGGCAUUGUUGCGUCAGCACUACGUCAUUGUGACAUCAGCAGGGUCAACAGGGCUGGUCCAGGUCAAACCUGACCAAUGGGGUCCACUGGUCAGUGACUCAGGGCUAGUUAGAGUCGCUGACAUGUGGGCCAGGUCAAAGUCCACGUCAUCUUGGUCAAAACUGACGCGUGGGCCUACUGUUUUAAAUAACUAAUCUAGUUAUUUUUGUUAAGCAGUAAACUAACAGGUGGGUCCCACUGUCAGCAUCUAGUGUUAGACUAACAGCGUUAGUUAGCCCUAAUCUAAUGACUGCCACGCGAGCUAACCGGCGAUUAGCCGCCGGUGCUAAGCAGGGUGCGGCGGCGCCCCUCGUCUGGCCAUCUCCAGCGACUAGAGCUCACGCGGCUGGGCUCUACGGACGCAGCGCAUCGAGGCGCAUCGGUUGGUGGCUGUGGGUGGUGCCGGGGUGGACUACAGCGGCGACGGCAAGGACGACAGCGGCGGCCGGAGCUCGGCUAAGCGCGGGUGCGGUGCUGUAGCUCGUAGGCGAGUGAAUGGAGGUGCUAGGCAGCACCUAAAGGGCAGCAGGAGCACGUCGGAGCUACUACGCGAGGCGGAGGUGCUCAGGGGCAUAGAGCUCGUCGGCCAUGGCGGACGGCGGCUUCGGGCGCUCGCGGGGCAGCGGCUAUGGGGCACGCGCGAGAGAGAGAGGUGAGGGGAAAGGAAGAGGGGCUCACGGCGGACUCGCAGAGCAGCUCAAUGGGCUCGGGGAAGCUUUGGUUGCCGCGAAUACGACGACGGUGAUCCACGGCGGCCGAGGCCGAAGACGAUGAUGGUGGCGUCGCUUCGCGCGUCCCACAGGCGCGAGCUUCGUCUUGGGGCUCCUUGGCGUCUAGGUGGAGCCUCUGGACAGCACAGAGAGGCGAGGGAGAGGCGAUGGCCGCGGUUGUGCCCGGCGGCAGCGACGACAGCGCUCGGUGGUUGCGUGCGAGAGAGCCAGAGGACAAGAGGGAGAACGGCGAGUGAGAGAGAGGGAACAGGGGCUUCGAGGCGUCUCCAUGGCGUUGCUAGAAGGGGCCGGGGAAGCAGGAGGUGGCCAGAGCAGCGUCGGCGCUCGCCACGCACCUGGUUGUCCUCCUGGCAGAGGAGGAAGAUGACAAGGGGGCGCUGGUGGGCUGGGCCGCCAGCUGGGCUGCCAGCAAGCUAUAGUAGCGGGCCGCAGGUGGGUGCAGGUAAGUCCUUCUGCUCUAUUUUAUAUUUUCUGUUUGUUUUCUAUUUCUGUAAUUUGUUUUUGAUUUAGUUUUCAAACUAAAUCAAAUUUACUGCUUCUAAUAAAUAUUGUGUGGGCUAGUUGAGCUAUUCCAGAGCCCCACACAAAUUUACAGAAUCAUUGGACUUAUAUUAAAUAUAUAGCAAAUAUAAAUCCAAUGCAAAUAGUUGUUGCAUUAACUCCAAAUGCCAAAAAUAAAUAUUUAUGAGCUCCUAAAAAUAUUGGUUUGAAUUUUACCUCUGGUCAAUAUUUUCAGGAGAAACAUGAACAUUUUCUUGGACCUAUUUGAAGAAAUUUUUAUCUUGGUCAUUUUCAGAAAUGAUUUCCGAGGCUUUCACAUGUCCCCAUUUCAAAUUCAUUGAAAUUUAAACAUGAUGCACACAUGACUAGCUAGUCUAGAUCAUACCAGAACUAGGGAUGUGACAGAGGAACCCUUCCAAGCUUCAAGACGGCCGGCGGCGACCUCCAGCCAGUCGGCGGUCCGACCGGCGGUGCACAGAGCCGGCAUGUCUGGCCACAGAGCGGCAACCGCCUGGGUGCCGGCACGCUGAAGCCGGCGCAUCAGCCGGUGGGCCGGACGAAGACGGGCUUCAAUGCUCAGAAGCUGCUCAUCGAUGGUUCGGGGGGCAUUAGCAGCGAUCUCCGCGCCGCUUGCCCUCCGCAGCUCGCGAUCAGCCUCGAUGGCCAGGGUGACUGCCUGCGAGUGGCGAGGGAAGAAGUCUGCCAAGACAAAAAAGAAGUGAGUCGACAAAACCAGAAAUUGGCUCGACCUAUAGUCGGAAGCUCGAAGAAAGGAAAGAAACUCACCAUCGACGAUGUCCUUGAUCUCGUGGAAGCCGGAGGUUAGCAUCGCCUCCCUGUCAGUCCAGGAGGAGCGCUCGCUCUCGAACUCGGCCAGGAGAGCGGCAUCCUUCUCGGCCUCGUCCUGCGCCUUCUAGAGCAGCUCCUUCUGCUCGGCCAGCUGCGCAGCCAGCAGGUCGCGCUCUACGGCAAGCUUGCCGCACUCCUCCUCCUUGGUGCGCAGGGUGGUAUUGGCCUCGCCCAGCUGGUGCUGAAGAGCGGCGUUGACCUCUGAAGAAGAAAAAAGACGAAAGAAGAUAAGUCAUCAACAAAGAAAGUCGCUGAGAAGAUCCGGCCCGACUGCUCAGCAGUCGGCCCGAAUCUCGGGGACUACAGCCCGCGGGUGCGCCAGCGCGCCCCUGCGAGAAAGAAGAAGGACUCACCCCGGCUCUCCGACAGGUUGGCAGUCCGGCUGCCUAACUCCUCAACAUUACGGUUGAAGGCGGUAGCGCGGAGGUUGUGAUACUCCUGCAAUAAUCAUUUAAGACAAAGUUAACAUUUGGAACUCGCCAGAGGGAGUUCCGAACCGCCUACUCAGCAGCCGGCCCGAAACUCGGGGACUACACCUAGUGGGUGCGCAGGCGCGCCCCCACAGAGAAAAACAAGAAUCAAAAAGAAGAAGGAAACAUACUCGGACGGCCGUCCGCGCUGCCAGAUGCGCCCUGGUGCAAGUUUGAAGGGCGUCGCCUUCAGCGUGCAGCUUCGCCUGGACGUCCAGAAGCGCUUGAUUCAGCGGCCCAGUGCCGCCUCCGUGCAACCACCUGAUGGGCGCGGCGCUUGUCGCCUCGGCGUCUGGGGUUGCCGAGCUGGCGGUGCCGGUCUCGCGGGGUCGCGGGGCCGAGGUCGCCCUCUCAAGACGGCGGCGCACCGGCGAGGCGACUUGGAGAAGCAGCCUCGCCUCAGACUCGUCUGCGGUCGGCGGCUCUGGACGAUCUGCCGGCUGUUUGCCGUGCGCUCUCCCAGACGGCGAUGGAGGCGGCGGUGGCGGCACGAGCGUGUCCGAGAUGGAGGCCUCGCCGCUCUCCUUCUCCAAGACGGGAGUCUCGGCGCCGGUUUCUCCAGUCUGCCCCGUGAACUCCGGGGGCGGCGGCACCGAGGACAGUGGGGUGACAAACUGCGCCGACUGGCGACGCGCGGCCUCCUCGACUCGCUGCUUGCUGCGGCGGGGGCUUUGGCCUCCUCCAGUUUUUUCUGGGCGGAGGCCGCCGCCUUCUCGGCCUCCGCCUUCUCCAGGCGGUCGGCCUCAUCCUCAGCGCGCUUCUCCCGCGCAUUUUGCUCUGUCGCCUCCUGGAGGUCGGCGGCGGGGUCAAUCCGCCGAGUGUUGGCAGACGUCUCCGCCGACCCCAUGACGAAGGGGGCGACGACCCUCUCAAGGGAAAGGGGAGCCCUGAAGCAAAAAGGGAAUGAAAAAGAGAAACUCGGACGAGAUUAACCGAGGGAGAAUAAGGACAAAGGAAGAAACACUUACGCAGAGACUAGAGGCGGCCUCCUCACUUCCCUGUGGAAGCGAUUGGCCCUCGCGGCCGCCUCCUCCCGCCUGGUCGCGGCGGCCGCCCCCUUGAGCUUCUUCGGCUUGCCGCCGAAUGAACUCGGCCCAGGCUGGCGCCUCUUCAAGCCGCCUUGGCCGGCGGAGGAACCCGUGCCCGAUGAGCCGACCCUCGGCUGGUGGCGCGGGGCGACUUCCCCUUCGGUGUUGUCAUCAGGCCAGUCGGCAAAUGUGGCCGAGGGCCUGAGGCCGCCUCCUGCUCCUCCUCCCCCCGCCAUCAGCGUCGGCUUCCAUCGCCGCCGCCCCCAAGUCGGGGUCAUCAAUGUCGCUCUCCGCUCGGUCGGGGACAAACUCGCGGGGCGGUCUUGUGACGCCGGGUGCGGGCUGCAUGAGGGGGUUCUAGUUCAAAGAAACCAAUAAAAAUCAGAAGUCGUAGUCGGCUACGAAGAAGACAAAGCGAUAAAGAGAUGCGACUUACCACUGGAGGGGGGUUGGCGCGCGAGUACGGCUCCUUGCCGAACUGCCAGUCCUCCCCAAACUCGCAGUUCGCGAUGUGCUUCACCAUGUUUGCCACCUCUGCGCAGGGCAUUUCCUUGGUGCACAUCCGACUCGGGUCCCGGUGGUCACUCAUCUGACUGAUCAGAUGAGGCCGGCCUUGGAGAGGGAGGACUCGGCGCACCACAAAGGCGGCCAGCAAGUCGUCCCCGACGAGGCCCUCCGACUGCGUAAGAACCCGGAGCCACGCCACGGCAGCGGCUCCGGCGGGAGUCAACGUCUUGGCUCGAUGAGACCAGCUGGGAAGCCUCCCAGCCGGUGCGCCGGCUUCGUAAGGUGGCAGAUUGACCCAAUCCCCAUCGGGGGCAACGCUCUUCACGUAGAAGUAUGACCGUUGCCACAUCUUCACCGAUUUGAUCAACGCGAUGGCGGGGAACGGGUUGUCGGCCGUCUACCGCCGCAACGCGAUGAAGGCGCCGCAUUGAGCCGGCACGCCGGCGACGUGCGUGCCGAGCUUGGAAGAGAAGAAUUCUCCCCACAACUCGAUGGUGGGGAGGACGCCAAGGAAGCCUUCGCACAGAGUGGCGAAGGCGGACAGCAGCACCACCGUGUUUGGGGUAAGGUGGUGCGGGUGGAUCUCGUGGAACUCCAGAAAGGCGCGGAAGAAGCUGCUCGCCAACAACCCCAGGCCGCGCAUGAGGUGCGAGCGGAAGAUGACCUGCUCGCCCUCCUCCGGCGCCGGCCGAAUCUCCCCCUCCGGCGUGGCGCGGGCACGCACGAGGUCUGCGCCAGGGAGCCGGCGCGUUCGGCGGAGGAACUCGAUAUGCUCAUCAUCCACCUCCGAGCCGUCCCACACGCCGGAGCGCACGGCGGGGGCCGCGGCGGCGGAGGAAGAGCUCAUCGCCGUUGGUGUGGUGUGUUCUUGCUCAAACGGCAGCGAAAGGAAGGAAAGGAGGCAAGAGGAGGCGGAGGGAGCGGNNNNNNNNNNNNNNNNNNNNNNNNNNNNNNNNNNNNNNNNNNNNNNNNNNNNNNNNNNNNNNNNNNNNNNNNNNNNNNNNNNNNNNNNNNNNNNNNNNNNNNNNNNNNNNNNNNNNNNNNNNNNNNNNNNNNNNNNNNNNNNNNNNNNNNNNNNNNNNNNNNNNNNNNNNNNNNNNNNNNNNNNNNNNNNNNNNNNNNNNNNNNNNNNNNNNNNNNNNNNNNNNNNNNNNNNNNNNNNNNNNNNNNNNNNNNNNNNNNNNNNNNNNNNNNNNNNNNNNNNNNNNNNCGCGCAGUAACGACGUGGGAAAACCAACCGACCGCACGGCCGCAAUGAAUCCGUUUGAAUGCCGAGGCGCGGUAGUGGCGGGCCCCGCCUGACGGCCCGUCCCGUCGCGCGCGUGGGAAGGCAGACUACUCCCGCCGCGUGGCGCCACACAAUAGGACCACACUGAUGUCCACGGGGAAGCGUAUCAGGCAUGCCGCAUGGUCUCCCGCCACGACUUCCGAGCUCUUUACGAGGCGGGGCGGCCCUCCGCAAAUCCAACUUUGGAUAGUCGGCCCGAAGGAAGACGGCAGCCGAAGCCCAGAAUCCACUCACGGAAGAUUGAAACUUUUGAAGCCCCACGAUGCAGUGUCCGCAGAGCUUCACCAGCUUCGGGGACUACUGUCGGAGUAAUGGGCCACGGGUAGGCCAACCCGAGCCCCAGGACCUUUCAAGACAUCGGGGCAGGCCACGCCACUCAUGCCGAGUCCCUGGGAUGACCCAAGAUAUGCGUUUCCCAGGGACGACUCCAAGUUAUGCCGAGUCCCAGGGACGACUCCAAGUUAUGCCGAGUCCCAGACGGCGACUCCGCGACAAGCCGAGUCCCAGAUGGCGACUCCAAGACAAGCCGACUCCUGGCCGGCGACCUCCAGAGAGGCCGGCUAUGGAGAGUCGGCCCACGACUCCACCCUCGUCUCGAAGGACGAGGCGGGGUACGGCCACGGCAUGGCCGUCCCCCCUGCUUACGACGAGCCGGCAUGGCUAUAGUGAGCCGUAUCGCUAGAGAUCUCCGGCGAGGCGCGGCACUAUUGCCAUGCCUACCCUGACCUCAGCCACAGUAGGCAGUGCACUGAGCCCACGACGCCGGCCUGUAUGACCCAAGGGCGGCGGGGCCGCCCGUCAGUGGGUAGACCGAAGACGGCAUGAGUGCCCUAGAGACAGACCGAUGGGAGUCGGCCCCCUGGAGUCAGCCGACCCCUCCCCCGGGCCCCGCACGCCAUUAACCAGAUAAGAUGGGGAGUGGCGACAGUGAACGCACGCCAGACGGCGGCGCUGUAGCCAUGACCGCCUGACCAAGCGAGCAUCAUCAUGAGUACCGCUACAGUCUCAGGCCUAUUCGCGGGGCCAGCCAGUCGGCGGGCCCCAGUAGUCGGUAGGAAGGACGACGGCCUGAGAGACAAACGGCUGGGACCCGCUCCCAGCCGGAUUACUAUUGUACCCCUGGGGGGUAGGCCUAUAUAAACCGCCCGGGAAGCCCAUGCAAAGGGUUCGGACCCAGAUAGGAAUAGACCUUAGAUCACAGGAGGGAGAAGCCAGCCUUGCCUUAUCCUACCUCCAGAAAUAGCUCCAGGAGCACCAUUGUAACCACUUUGCCAUAGUGACCAUGCGGAGACCCCGCAGAGCAGCAGUACGGGUGUUAUCUCCUCGAAGAGCCCUAAAGCUGGGUACGUUCCACCGGCGUGCAUGUCUCCGCCUCAUCCCUCUUCCGGGCACCGGCGACGUUCUACUCGCUCCCACCAUGAUAAGCCAUCCUUUGUCAUAUGUCGUAACCAACCCCCGAGAGGAGGUGUUCUUCCCAGAAUGGCUUGCCAACCCGGUCCUGGUGUUAAAGAAGAACAAGCAGUGGCCCAUGUGCAUUGACUACACCAGCCGCAACAAAGCCCGCCCUAAAGAUCCUUUUGCUCUGCCAAGGAUUGAUCAAGUGAUAGACUCCACAGCCGGAUGCGAGCUGUUGAGUUUGUUGGAUGCUUACUCAGGCUACCACCAGAUAAAAUUGGACCCAGCUGACCGCCUGAAGACCGCCUUCAUCACCCCAUUCGGAGCUUUCUGUUACCUGACUUUGACAUUUGGCUUGAGAAAUGCCGGUGCCACUUUUCAGCGUUGCAUGCAGAAAUGCCUCCUCAAGCAACUCGGCAGAAAUGCCCACGUCUAUGCAGACAAUGUUGUGGUGAAGACGGACAAACGCAACACCUUGCUGGAAGACCUCAAGGAGACCUUUGAGAAUCUGUGCCGGUUUCAGAUGAAGCUCAACCCUGAAAAAUGCAUGUUCGGGGUACCAGCCGGCCAACUCCUAGGCUUCCUGGUCUCCGAACGCGGCAUCGAAUGCAACUCAGUGAAGAUCAAGGCCAUAGACAGAAUGAAGAUCCAUACCAAGCUGCGAGACGUCCAAAAGUUCACCAGAUGCCUGGCAUCUUUGAAUCGCUUCAUCAGCCGGCUCGGAGAGAAGGCCCUCCCCCUCUACCGACUCAUGAAAAAGUCCACUCAUUUCGAGUGGAAUGACCAGGCGGGCCAAGCUUUCCACAAUCUAAAGAAGAUGCUGUCCACGCCGCCUAUCUUGGCGGCACCGACUGAGAAAGAGCCCAUGUUCAUCUACACUGCCGCCGCUAGCCGGGUGGUCAGCAUAGUUAUCGUGGUCCAGCGUCUAGAAGAAGGCCGAACUCAGCUAGUCCAGAGGCUGGUAUAUUAUUUGAGUGAAGUACUCUCCACCUUGAAGCAGAACUACCCGCAUUAUUAGAAGAUGUGCUAUGGUGUGUACUUCGCCUCCAAGAAACUCAAGCCCUACUUUCAAGAGCAUACCAUCACGGUCGUAUGCACUGCCCCGCUCGCCGAUAUCAUAGGCAGCUGGGAUGCAUCCGGCCGAGUGGCGAAAUGCGCCAUUGCGCUGGAUCCUUACACAAUCUACUACCAGCCCCGCACCGCCAUCAAGUCCCAACCAUUGGCCUACUUCCUCGUCGACUGGGCCGAGGCCCAGUACCUGCCACUGGCCCCCGACUCCACUCAUUGGCGGAUGCACUUUGACGAAUCCAAGAUGCACACCGGCUUAGGAGCCGGCAUCGUCCUCACCUCUCCCAAAGGCGACAAACUCAGAUACACAUUGCAAAUCCAUUUUGCCGCCUCCAACAAUGUGGCCGAGUACGAGGCGCUUAUACACGGGCUCCGGCUGGCCAAGGAACUCGGCAUCCGCCGGAUCCUGUGCUAUGGCGACUCAGACUUGGUGGUCCAGCAAUCAUCCGGCGACUGGGACGCCAAGGACACAAACAUGGCAAACUACCGCUUCUUCGUUCAGCAAAUCAGUGGAUACUUUGAGGGGUGCGAGUUCCUCCAUGCGCCAUGGGCGAACAACGAGCAAGCAGAUGCCCUGGCAUGAAUAGGCUAAACCCGGCAAGCUAUACCAACCGGCGUCGCCCUCCAACGCCUCCUCAAGCCGUCUGUCAAGCCAUCUCCGGAAUCCAGUGCCAUCUUCGUGCCGCCUGACCCCGACGCAGUCGGCUCCGACUUCGGGAACAAAGAAGGCAGCUCGGGGACUUCGGCAGUCGGCUCGGGGACUUCGGCAGCCUGCUCGGGGACUGCCCUAGUCGAACCCGGCCCAGGGACUGCUGUAACCGGCCUGGGGACUGCACCGACAAUGCAAGCGGUGACCGACUCCAACUCUUCACAGCCCAACCCACUCGCCCUAGUUGCAGUAGCCGUUUUGGCGAUAGAAGAAGUCACAGCUCCAUCAUGGGCCCAGGCCAUCCUCCACUUCCUGAUAAACGGAGAACUGCAGACUAACGAGAUCUCGGCAAGACAAGUCCAACGCCGAGCCGGAGCAUACACAAUAAUGAACUGAGAGCUUGUUAGGCGUAGCAUUACUGGAGUCUUUUCAGCGCUGCGUCGAGCCAGAGAAGGGCAUAGUAAUCCUCGAAGACAUCCACCAGGGCGAGUGCGGCCACCACGCCGCCUCAAGGGCACUCGUCGCCAAAGCUUUCCACCAUGGAUUCUUCUAGCCGACCGCUUUGGAGGACGGGAAGGAGUUAGUCAAACACUGCAAAGGGUGCCAAAUCUUCGGCUGCAAGCAGCACCUACCGGCUUCUGCACUCAAGACCAUCCCCCUCAGCUGGCCAUUUGUCGUCUGGGGACUGGACAUGGUGGGCCCAUUCAAGACGGCGUGCCGUGGCAUGACACAUCUGCUUGUCACCGUGGACAAAUUUACCAAGUGGAUUGAAGCAAAGCCGAUCAAGAAACUGAAUGGGCCACCUGCCGUAACAUUCAUCGCAGACAUUACAACCCGGUACGGAGUACCACAUAGCAUCAUCACUAACAAUGGCACAAAUUUUGCCAAGGGAGCACUGGCACAUUUCUGCACGAUGCAGGGCUUCCGACUGGACUUAGCGUCCGUUCCCCAUCCGCGGUCAAACAACCAAGUCGAGCGAGCGAACGGCCUCAUCCUCUGCGGCAUCAAGCCCCGACUGGUCGUGCCGCUGGAGCGUUUGGCCGGAUGCUGGCUUGACGAGCUGCCAGCCAUCCUCUGGAGUCUGCGCACUACCCCGAACAAGUCAAUCGGCUUAACCCCUUUCUUCCUUGUAUAUGGUGCCGAGGCUGUCAUACCAACUGACAUCGAGUUCGACUCACCUCGGGUCACCAUGUACACGGAGGCGGAGGCCAAGGAAGCACGAGAAGACAGCGUCGACUUGCUGGAAGAAAGCCGGCUAUUAGCCCUCAGCCGGUCCGCCAUCUACCAGCAGGGUCUACGCCGUUACCACAGCCGGAAGGUCAAGCCAAGAUCCUUCCAAGAGGGUGAUCUUGUGCUCCGGUUGAUCCAGCAAACAGCCGGCCAGCACAAGCUCUCGGCCCCUUGGGAAGGCCCCUUCGUAAUCAGUCGAGCUCUAGGCAACGACUCCUACUACCUGAUUGGCACAGAAGCCGAAGGCACGCAAGAGAGAUGAUUCCGGCAAGGAGUCGGAGCGACCAUGGAAUGCCAAUCUUCUCCGAAGAUUUUACAGUUAAAAUGCAAUAUGUACCACGCUACCUUUUGUAUUAAAGUACGAGACAACGGGCCCCCCGAGGAGUACUCAGGGACUACCCUCUUUUAUCUAUGAAUGAUGGGUAUCAUACCCAUGGUUAUGCCACUACAUUCACCUUUUUCGUCUGGCACCGGGUUCGACUAGUCGGCUCGGGGACUUGUCGCCUUGAGUUAUGUCCAAGUUCUACCUGCAGUCAGACAAGUAAUGUGCCGGCACCCAAGCCCUCUCUUGUGAAAGUCACGGCUCGAAGAAUCGGUUGUCCGACUGGCAAGAGCCAAAGGCGGAAAAGGAGGCCCACGUGAAAAACGGCUAAGGACUAACGAACUUACAUAACACAAGCCGGCUCCCCCCCCCCCCGCCGCCAACUAGCUGUCGAAGCAGCCGGCUGGCCGGCUUCCCUUCUUACUCUGCUACAAUCUAAGAAGGCUCGAGUACUUGCCCUCCCAGACGGCUAAUUCCUUACCCGGCCACAGACUGCAGAGCAGCUGUCCGGCUGGGAAGGCGGCGACUAAGGGAGGGCGGCAAAGGAAAACGGCCAAAAGAUAAAGGCAAGUAGGAACGGAAGCCAAACACAUGCAUAAUUAUAUUUACACAAAAGGCCGUCGAAGCGCCGGCAUUCGAUAAAGUUUGAAUACACCCCAAGUGGGUGGAACUGCACAAAAGUUAAUAAAAGUUGUUCAAGGAGUAAAAAGCAGGAAAGUAAAGAUGGCGAGUCAGGCCAAGGGAGCAACUGGGGCGUCGGGCAGGUCGGUGGAGACGGCGGUGUCGGCUGGAGGAGAGGCCGGCUGGCGAGUCUCGGCUUGAUCGUCACCUACGGCAGGCGGUGCAUUCGCACGCGCCUCGUUGCCGGAGUGUCAGGACCCCGACUCGAUGUCACAUCGAUCUAGCUUGUAACACCUCAUAUCACUUUGCGGCCUCACGCACGGUAUCCCCACGGGUGUCACCUUACCUUUUCUCGGGACCGUUUGCGCCUUUUGGCUCACGUAUAUGAUAGUGUUGCUAGCAUCCAUAUGAUAAGGAGCCCGGGCUGACAUGACUAGUUGUAAACCCAAAGUGGCACAGACUUACAGGGACAGGCAUCCAUGACCCAGCUUCGAACGUGUCGGUCAUCAGCAAGUGGGUCCGGGCUGUAGCACUGGGCUAGCAGGACUCCGGUAAACCGGGCUGUAGCGGGCUAACAGGACUCCGGUACUCAAUGCGUGACAUUUCCCUGAAGGGACAGACACAGGAACGAAGAAGGACACAUGCCGGCCAGCCUAAGUGUUCCAGAGCAGUAGCAAGCUACCAUGGCUCAGCGGUAACACUAGGAGACAUUUCCCGGUAAGAGAGGCUACUAAAGAUAAACAACUAGAUAGUCAGAUCCCACACAUACCAAGCAUUUCAAUAACAUACACACAAUAUGCUCGAUAUGUGCAAAUAAAACAUGGCAUCACAACAUGACUCUACGACACAAGUACUUUAUUUAAGGCUCAGAGAGCCAUACAUGACAUACACAUAGGUACGGGUCACACGACCCAGCAUUCAAGUCAUACAGUCAUACAAACCAGCAGCGGAAGUAACUUGUCUGAGUACAGACAACUAGUAAAAUAAAAGAGGCUUGGAAAGCCUAGCUAUACUACGUGGUCCUUCACAAACUCAGGAUCACCACCUGGGCCUUAGCCUACUCAUCGAUGUCAACGUCUACGAAGAACCCAUCAGAAGGGGUUGCAGCGUCUUCUGUAAAAAUGUAGAUUAUAGCAACAUGAGUACAAAGGUACUCAGCAAGACUUACAUCAGAUCCUACAUACAUGCACAUUAUCAAGAAGGGUUGGUGGAGUUGUUGCAGCAAGCCAGCUUUGACUCUUGGCUAGACUAUCCUACGAGACUCCAACUUGAAAUGGUUUUGCGUACACGAGUCAAUACACUACCGAGGAUCCACCUCCGUCUUCCUACGGAAGAGCCAUCCUCAGCACUCACACUUAUCUUGAGGCUUUUAGUAGUUUCCAUUUACUUGUCUAUAAACUGUAUAGGCAACCAAGUAGUCCUUUACUGCGGACGCGGCUAUUCGAAUAGAUCAUGUUAACCCUGCAGGGGUGUACUUCUUCAUACACGCUCUCACCACUUACCGCCGUUUACACGACUUGUACUCGGCAACCUUCAAGCGGAAGCCCAAUGUGGGUGUCGGCCACGACCUACCUAAUCACCUAAGCCUCUAGUCCAGGUUUAUCGCCUAUUCGGGUUCCAUCCAUGAGGAGAUCCGGCCGAGGUUUCGCUCACAGCCCCAGACGAUGUGAAAAGGGUUCCGAGAUACCUAACGGGUAUUCGGUACACCGUGCCACGUACCUACCGCAUCACAGCCCACCCCUACAGUCAGCGCUAUCCACGGCCUCCAGUAUACUACAAACACCAGAAACUACUUGCAACUCCUGGACAGAGAACUAGGGUGAAUAAGAAGUCGAGAGGGUCCAUUGGUUUCGGGCCCAAUGCAUGGUAGUAGCUGAAUCUUAAAUCACACAUACAGAUCUCAGUGCUUAAGGUCGGCUUCAAUGAAACAACCCACCAUGUACUCCUACAUGGCCUCUCAUCGAUACCUUUACCAAAUCGUGUUCACCACACCACUCUCAUUACCGACAUAAUCAUUUCACUCUAGUCCAUCACCCUGAUGAACCAGACCUGACACGACUCUAAGCAUAGCAGGCAUAGCAAGGUAGGAACAACACAUACAUAUGGCUCAAUCAACUCCUACGCAUGCUAGUGGGUUUCAUCUAGUUACUGUGGCAAUGACAGGUCAUGCAGAGGAAAUGGGUUCAACUACCAUAACACACAGCAGUUUGAAACGCGUUGUCUUAAUGCAGUAAAAGAGAGCAGGAGCGAGAACAUGGGAUUGUAUCGAUACGAUCAAAUGGUUGGUUGCUUGCCUGAUGGUUCGAUGCACAGAUACGGUUCUUCGUUAGGGUAAUCACGGUACUCCUCGGAGGCAGAACCUGCCGCAAAGAACACCGAUACACAACUAUCACCAAACAAUGUGCAACAAUAUGAUGCAUGCAUGAAACAUGGCAAUAUGAGUGUGUUGGGCUAAUGCAACUAAGACCAGAAGGGUUUGAACCAAUUUGAAUCAAAGAUUCAAAUUUCAAACUCAUACAUGGCCCUUUAAAGUGUUUUUCCUUGUUCUGCAUUAAACAUCAAGUUAACUUGUUUAAUCAUGCAUGAAAAUAGUACAGAUGGAUAGAUUGGAUUUUUCUGAUCAUUUUUCAUAUAUAACUUGUCUGAUUUGGAGUUACAGAUUAAAAGUUAUGAAUUUUUGAAGUUUAAACUAUAUUCUGGAAUUUCCUAUAUUAGAUUAAAUCCAGAAAAUCAAUUUCUGCGUCAGCCUGACGUCAGUGUGACGUCAGCAGGUCAACGGGACACGUCCGGGUCAAACCUGAUAGUGGGUCCCGCAUGUCAGUGUGAUUAAUUAAACUGAAAUUAAUUUAAACUAAUCCUAAUUAGUUAACAGGGCUGGGCCCCACCUGUCAUUGACUCAGGAGAGUCAACCAGGGCCCACCCGUGGUCAAACCCCGGUCAGCUGCACCGGCGUUUAGCCGCCGGCGAGCCCGACGCGGCGGCGGAAGUGGUUUUUGCCGUUCCGGCAACCAAACGAGCCGUGGAGGCCACCGGAGAGGAGCUGAGGACGAACCGCAGCUCUUGGUGGAGUCCGUUGGGGUCGGGGUGGCCGGAGUUGGCGCCGGCGACGACUUUGGUGGCCACCGGAGUUCGGCCGAAGUUGAACUUGUCGCUAGGGGGGUCGGUGAGGUGCGGGGAGUAGCUAGUUAGGUGCUACGUGACGCGGUGAGCAUGAUGGACACCGUGGAGUGGUCGGAGGGUGACCGGGAGCACGUCGGUGACGAGCUCCGCGGCGGUGGGUGCGGUUGAGCUCCGGGAGGUCGCUACACAGCUCGGGAGCAAGAAGAGAAGGGAGGGGAAGAUGGCUAAGCUCACGGGGAGUUCGACGAAGCCCUUGGUGCGGCCGGGGACGGACCGGAGCGACGACGGCGUUGAAGGGGAUCUCCGGCGACGGCGGUUCGGGCGAGGUCGUUGCGGUGGACUCGGGCGUUGCGAGCGCUCGGGGCUCGGCUUGCUCGAUGAAGUGGACAGCGGCGGAGCUCCUGGACGCGACGAGAGGACGCACGGGCGGCGCGGAGCGCGGCUACGACGUAGGCACGGCGGCGGUAGCGUCGGCCAUGGCUGGGGGGCGCGAGGGGGAGGAGUUGGAGAGGAGAGGGGGUGUCUGGGGGGGUUCGGGGAAGAGAGGGGGAGCGAUCCACGACGUCACCGGGCGAGGGGAGCGGCGAGGCGGCGAGCAGGUGCAUGGCGCGCGUUGUGGUCGCCGUCGGGCACCUGCCUGCCUGCCUGGCUGGCAAGCAGCUCGCUGGAGCGGCGCUGGGCUGGGCCGGCAGGUGGGCCGGGUGCUGGCGCCAGGUAAGUUUUUCUAUUUUUUUCUGUUUUCUGAUUUCUAUUUUUUAAUACUUCUGCAACUUUGUUGAUUUAUUAAAAAUACUUAGGCAACUCCUAAAAUCACCAAACUACUCCUGGUCCAUAGUUGGAUUAUUUCCAACAUGAAACAUUUUAGUUUGGAGAUAUUUGGGCAUAUGAAUAUUUUAUAUAAUUUUAAAUGCCAAAAUUCAAAUAUCUAUGAUUUAAUUCAAAGACCCUAGGAUGACCUAGGAAAAUGUGCAUCACUUUUGGCAGGGGUUCUGAACCAGGACAAAAAUGAUGGGCAUUUUAGAAGGGCAUUUCAGGUUCAUUGAAAAAGCUUUUAGUAAACCCUAGUUGGUUUCAGAGGGGGCUGGGGGUUCUGUCAUCCCCAUUUCAGGUUUCUGAUGAAAGAAUAAACAUGAUGCAACCCUCUAAUGCAUGAACUAGCUAGGGUGUGACAACUCACCCCCACUCAAAAGAAUCUCGUCCCGAGAUUUGGGUUCCUCCGGGAAGAAGGCGGGAUACUCGAGUUGAAGACGAUCCUCCCUUUCCCAAGUUGCUUCAUCCUCAGAAUGGUGCGACCAUUGAACUUUGAGAAACUUGAUAUUAUGAUGUCGAGUGGUAUGCUCGGCCUGAUCGAGGAUACGAAUGGGGUACUCUCGAUACGUGAGAUUAUCUUGGAGAUCAAGCGUUUCGUGGUCCACUCCACGGAUAGGAUCCGAGAAGCAACGCCUGAGUUGAGAAACGUGGAAGACAUCAUGGACUCUGGAGAGAUGCGGAGGUAGUUCCAACUGGUAGGGAACUUCUCCUCGUUUAGCGAGAAUACGAAAAGGUCCAAUGUAACAGGGAGCCAAUUUGCCUUUGAUACCGAAACGAUGGGUUCCCUUCAGAGGAGUAACCCGAAGGUAAGCCUUCUCGUCAACCUCGAAAGUCAUAGCCUUAUGUUUUCGGUCAUAUUGACUCUUUUGACAAGAUUGGGCUGUUUUCAACUUUUCACGAACGAUGCGAACUUGCUCUUCUGCUUCCUGAAUCAUAUCCGGGCCAAAGAAUUGUCUUUCCCCAGUUUCUGACCAGUUAAGGGGUGUUCGACACCGUCGUCCAUAGAGAACUUCAAAAGGGGCUUUACCCAAGCUAGAUUGAUAGCUGUUGUUGUAAGCGAAUUCGGCAAAUGGAAGGCACUUCUCCCAAUCUCCUCCGAAUGAGAUAACAGAGGCUCGAAGCAUGUCUUCUAGGAUCUGGUUGACGCGUUCUACUUGACCACUCGAUUGAGGGUGAAAGGCGGUGCUAAAGGAAAGGCGGGUUCCCAUAGCAUUUUGGAAACUUUCCCAAAAUCGAGAGGUGAAAAGACUUCCUCGAUCCGAGUUAAUUUCCAAAGGAACACCAUGGAGAGACACUAUUCGGGAGAUGUAUAAAUCUGCCAAUUGACUAGCAGUUAUACUGUCACGAACAGGUAAGAAAUGGGCCACUUUGGAGAGACGAUCGACAACGACGAAGAUAGCAUUAUUCCCUCUCUUGGUCCUGGGAAAACCGGUAAUGAAAUCCAUACCAAUUUUAUCCCAUUUCCCAUCAGGAAUAGCUAAGGGUUGAAGGGUGCCAGCAGGCCGUUGAUGCUCUGCUUUUACACGACGGCAGACGUCGCAAUUAGCAAUAUACUGAGCAAUUUCUCUCUUCAUCCUAGUCCACCAGAACCUCUGGCGUAGGUCCUGAUACAUCUUAGUACUACCGGGAUGAAUGGUGAGAGGAGAUUCAUGAGCUUCCUUAAGGAUCAAUCGUCUCAGGUUUCGCACCUUGGGAACCACUAGUCGAUUCCCGAAGUAUACGACCCCUUGAUCAUUAAUGGAGAAACAAUUCGCAACUCCUUUCUUGAUGUUUCUCUUGAUGCGGGAAAUUCCCGGAUCUACCUUCUGUGCUUUGAUGAUCUGAUCCGUAAGGGUAGGUUUAGCCACCAAGGUGGAAAGAAAACCUUUUGGAACAAUGUGAAGGUUAAGCUUCCGAAAUUCCUCAUGGAGAAGCGGUUGACUUUGUUGUAACAUCAGGUUGUUACAAUAAGAUUUACGACUUAGCGCAUCAGCCAUGACGUUGGCUUUCCCUGGGGUGUAAGUUAUUCCUAAGUCGAAAUCUGUGAUCAACUCAACCCAACGUCUUUGCCUGAGAUUCAAAUCCGGUUGGGUGAAGAUAUACUUCAGACUUUGGUGAUCAGUGAAUAUUUCGCAACGAUUACCGAGGAGGUAAUGUCGCCAGGUCUUAAGUGCAUAGACUACGGCUGCAAGCUCUAGAUCAUGAGUAGGAUAAUUCUCCUCAUGUGGGUGCAAUUGCCGUGAAGCGUAAGCAAUUACGUGUCGAUCUUGCAUGAGAAUGCAACCUAGUCCUUGUCGCGAGGCGUCGCAGUAGAUAACAAAGUCCUUAGAGAAGUCUGGCGGUACCAGUAUGGGAGCAGAAGUCAGGCGUCUUUUCAGUUCCUGAAAGCUGUGCUCACAUAUUGGAGUCCAUUCGAACUUUUUAUCUUUCUUGAGGAGUUCGGUUAGAGGUUUAGCAACUUUGGAGAACUUCUCGACAAAGCGACGACAAUAGCUCGCUAAGCCCAGAAAACUCCGAACUUGCUUGACCGAUUCAGGUGGAGUCCAAUUAAGGACGGCUUGAACUCGCUCAGGGUUAUCAGCAAUACCUUUACCAGAUAUUACAUGACCCAGAUAGGUCACCUCUGACAACCAGAAUUCACAUUUAGAAAAUUUGGCAUAAAGGCGAUGCUCUCGAAGUUUCUUCAACACUAGCCUUAGAUGUUCGGCAUGUUCUUCCUCGCUCUUGGAGUAGAUGAGUAUAUCAUCGAGGUAAACCACGACGAAUUUAUCCAAAUACUCCAUGAAGAUCGAGUUCAUUAACCGAGAAAAGGUGGCUGGAGCGUUGGUUAAACCGAAAGACAUGACGGUGUACUCGUAUUGACCAUAACGAGUGACAAAGGCCGUUUUAGGAAUGUACCCGUUCCUGAUUUUGAUUUGAUGGUAGCCCAACCUCAAAUCCAUUUUGGAGAAGACUGACGAUCCAGCGAGCUGAUCAUACAGGUCGUUGAUCCUGGGGAGCGGAUAUUUGUUCUUGAUUGUGGUCGAUACUCUACAACCAUCCGGUCCGUACCAUCCUUCUUCUUGGCGAAGAGGACGGGGCAAGCCCACGGAGAUGAACUAGGUCGGAUGAAACCCUUUUUCAAGGACUCAUCGAGUUGUUUCUUAAGCUCGGCUAGUUCUAGUGGUGCCAUCUUAUAAGGUCUUCUAGCAAUCGGGACGGUUCCUGGAAUGAGGUCUAUUACGAACUCCACAUCCCUGUCAGGUGGAACACCUGGCAAUUCCUCUGGGAAGACAUCCGGGAAGUCACGGACUACCGGAACGUCCUCAAGGUCUGGCAAAGGGCUGGCGUUAAGAGAAUAUAACUGUCGCUUGGCUAUUCGGGUCAAGACAUUGACUAUCUUCCCCGAAGGAUGGGUGAGUUGAACAGUCCUAGAGAAGCAAUCAAUUUGGGCAUGAUGGGCUGACAUCCAGUCCAUACCCAAGAUGAUAUUAAUAUCUGAAGAUUUAAGAGCUAUCAAAGAUGCAAGGAAAACAAGUCUGUCGACUUGGAUUUCAUUUCCAUGACUUACCCUAGAGGUUUGCCAUUUGGAUCCCGGAGUUUGAAUUACCAUAGAGGAUGGCAUGUCACAGAAUGCGGUGUUAUGCAAGCGAUCAUAGUUCUCGGAUAUGAAUGAAUGAGAUGCUCCUGUAUCGAAAAGAACAGAUGCCGGGUGGCAAUUAACAAGGAGCUUACCGAGAACAACGUUGGGAUCCUCUUGAGCUUCUUUGGCAGAGAUACAGUUGACAUGGCCACGUGUAGCGGUGGCCGGCUUGGCGUGGAACACUUUACCUGUCGGCUUGCCUCGGCCAACAGCUUUAGCAGAUUGGUAGGGGUUGGUUUGGGGACACUCGCACAUAUAGUGGCCAGAUUCCCCACACUUAAAGCAAGUCACGGAACUGGUACGUGGAGGAGCAUUGUUGGUUGGACCACCAUAGGGCUUGGCUGGUGCAGACUGUUGAACGGGGCGAGGCGCCUGAAAGGAUGGCCUCGGUGUGAACCUGGGUGGCAGGGCAGUGUUAGGCACCCACACGCGGCGCUUCUGAGGGCCAGCACCGGAUGAGGAACCCACGUCACGGCCAUGCUUGCAUGUUGCGUCAUAAUCAGACUGACCAGUCUCAGCACUGAUGGCCUUGUUAACAAGCUUCUGAAAAGAUGUGCACUCAUGCAGACGGAGGUCGCGGCGAAGCUCAGGACUAAGCCCCUUACGGAACCUUGCUUGCUUCUUGGCAUCAGUAGAAACUUCCUUAGUGGCAUAUCGUGCGAGGUUACCGAACUCCCUGCUGUAAGCAUCCACAGAGAGUCGGCCCUGAGUGAAACUGCAAAAUUCCUCACGUUUACGGUCCAUGAGACCCUCCGGAAUGUGAUGUUUGCGGAAAGCCUCGCUGAAUUCAGCCCAAGUAGUGACAUGGCCUGCUGGGCGCAUAGCUCCAUAAUUCUCCCACCAUAGACUGGCGGGGCCUUCAAGAUGAUAUGCAGCAAAGGUGACCUUGUCAGCCUCAGCUACCAGCGCGGAGUGGUGGAACGUGGGUGGAUGUAACUUGAUGAAAUCACUGAGUGACACCACGUUAGUCCUCUGAUGGUGUGCUGUGUUCUGUUCAAUACGCUCCAACAAACGGUUGGUCUCCCGCUUGUUUCUCUCGGCUUCCAGCAUAACCUCGGCUAGGGAAGGAGGAUGAGGCAGAUUUGCAUUCCUGACUUCACUGCCUUCGGCCUGCUCUUGAGGAGCAGGGUUAUUGCGCGUGUUGACCAUCCUAGGUAAACAAGACAAUGAUUUAGUCAGAAUGAUAAGAUUCCGACAUAGAAUACAGAAUGUAAGGAGUAACUCGGAAUGCAAGAUGAUCAUCCGUAUGACAUGGUAGAUACAGAAACUGCUUCUUUAUUCCAUCGUCAUACACACCAUACAAGGUUUAGUACAAGACCAAACAAGGUACUAUUACGGUGAAAAGAGGAUUACAUCUCAUCGGAGGCAUCCCAAGCUCCUAUACAUUAUUUUUCUACACCUCCGGAAGACGGUACAAACUAGGUCAUAUCCCACGAGUCACGCAGGACGAUAGAUGACACAGCUAGUAGGAACUAGUGAUACUACCACUAACUCAGACCGAUCCGUAGUAGUCCUCGUAGAAGUCACCUCCAUAGCCUGGAAGCUCAACAUGAUCAUCCGGGAACAGACGAUCUCGCGGAGCUUGUGGACCAUAGGGACUAGGAUGAGGUCUUGGACCAACAGACGGUGGCCUGCGGGGACCGCGAGGUGGGGUGAUGCCUCCUACAGCACGCCAACCCAUCACGUCUGGCAAAGCAGAUCUCACAGGAUAGAGAUCGCGCAUAUCCGAAUAUCCAGCUUGCACCGCCGGUGCAAACCGAGUCAAUGUGGCCCAAUGGUCAGCACUGGUAUUGAAGAGCUCUAGCCUCAAGGCCCGGUUUUCACGGUCCUUAUCCUCGAGCAUCUCAGCAGUGGUGCGAGUCCAUGAAUCCUCCUGAGUGGGGUCAGCAUAGAUAGCCUGGAGAUGCCCUUGUGCUCCCGGAAGUGAUCCUGGCAUAUAUCGGAAAUCAGAGUCCCGAAAUAGACCAGACCUGACCCGCAUGAUGGUCAUCAUAGAGUAGGCGGCGUCCUGCACAGCCAUCUCAAUAGUAACCCCGAGUCCAUAGGAGCAGUGAAGGGGCUCGGUGGAUCCAGGAUAAGAUGGAAAUAUCCUGACGGUGCAGAGAUACUGGCUUUGAUUAAAAUCUCGAAAUUGCUCUUCGACCAUGUACUCGGGAUACCAACGGUAUCCAGCCUCAGUCAUUACCCUGACCAACAUGGCGGUAUGGCCGGGUACAUCUAGGCAUCGAGUCAGGUGAACCACUUGAUUGAGGUCGCGAGUGGCCAUUUGAAAGCACAACCAUAAUGCAAAGGCAUUAGAAUUUCUAGCAAAAUUUCGGCAGCAUAACAGCUGUAAUUGCUCAAGAAGGAUUUUGAGACAUUUGUCAAAGGAUUUCAUACACACUCAACAACAUCAUAUCAAGUUCUGAGUCCAUCCUAGCAACAUAAUGUGGUAGUAGAACUGAACUAGGCUUGUAUCCAUCAAACCUAUAAGGUACUAUUGAUUAGUAACACGUGAUCCUGAUAGAGAGAAUAGAUCCUAAUUCCUUAACCCCCGGUGGAAGAAUAGACUGACUCAGAUCAGAAUGUCAUAAGAUAAAGGAGUAAAAAGAGCCUUACGUUCCAACCCACAAACAAUUCCCCUACAUAUAACUAAAGAAUUUCUAGACUCGACAUCGACCAGUUUGGCUUGGAGAACCUACAGGCAGUCCAGCUCUGAUGCCAACGCUGUCAGGACCCCGACUCGAUGUCACAUCGAUCUAGCUUGUAACACCUCAUAUCACUUUGCGGCCUCAUGCACGGUAUCCCCACGGGUGUCGCCUUACCUUUUCCCGGGACCGUUUGCGCCUUUUGGCUCACGUAUAUGAUAGUGUCGCUAGCAUCCAUAUGAUAAGGAGCCCGGGCUAACAUGACUAGUUGUAAACCCAAAGUGGCACAGACUUACAGGGACAGGCAUCCAUGACCCAGCUUCGAACGUGUCGGUCAUCAGCAAGUGGGUCCGGGCUGUAGCACUGGGCUAGCAGGACUCCGGUAAACCGGGCUGUAGCGGGCUAACAGGACUCCGGUACUCAAUGCGUGACAUUUCCCCGAAGGGACAGACACAGGAACGAAGAAGGACACAUGCCGACCAGCCUAAGUGUUCCAGAGCAGUAGCAAGCUACCAUGGCUCAGCGGUAACACUAGGAGACAUUUCCCGGUAAGAGAGGCUACUAAAGAUAAACAACUAGAUAGUCAGAUCCCACACAUACCAAGCAUUUCAAUAACAUACACACAAUAUGCUCGAUAUGUGCAAAUACAACAUGGCAUCACAACAUGACUCUACGACACAAGUACUUUAUUUAAGGCUCAGAGAGCCAUACAUAACAUACACAUAGGUACGGGUCACACGACCCAGCAUUCAAGUCAUACAGUCAUACAAACCAGCAGCGGAAGUAACUUGUCUGAGUACAGACAACUAGUAAAAUAAAAGAGGCUUGGAAAGCCUAGCUAUACUACGUGGUCCUUCACAAGCUCAGGAUCACCACCUGGGCCUUAGCCUACUCAUCGAUGUCAACGUCUACGAAGAACCCAUCAGAAGGGGUUGCAGCGUCUUCUGUAAAAAUGUAGAUUAUAGCAACAUGAGUACAAAGGUAGUCAGCAAGACUUACAUAAGAUCCUACAUACAUGCACAUUAUCAAGAAGGGUUGGUGGAGUUGUUGCAGCAAGCCAGCUUUGACUCUUGGCUAGACUAUCCUACGAGACUCCAACUUGAAAUGGUUUUGCGUACACGAGUCCACUACUCACCACUUCAAUACACUACCGAGGAUCCACCUCCGUCUUCCUACGGAAGAACCAUCCUCGGCACUCACACUUAUCUUGAGGCUUUUAGUAGUUUCCAUUUACUUGUCUAUGAACUGUAUAGGCAACCAAGUAGUCCUUUACCGCGGACGCGGCUAUUCGAAUAGAUCAUGUUAACCCUGCAGGGGUGUACUUCUUCAUACACGCUCUCACCACUUACCGUCGUUUACACGACAUGUACUCGGCAACCUUCAAGCGGAAGCCCAACGUGGGUGUCGGCCACGACCUACCUAAUCACCUAAGCCUCUAGUCCAGGUUUAUCGCCUAUUCGGGUUCCAUCCAUGAGGAGAUCCGGCCGAGGUUUCGCUCAUAGCCCCAAACGAUGUGAACAGGGUUCCUGAGAUACCUAACGGGUAUUCGGUACACCGUGCCACAUACCUACCGCAUCGCAGCCCACCCCUACGGUCAGCGCUGUCCACGGCCUCCAGUAUACUACAAACACCAGAAACUACUUGCAACUCCUGGACAGAGAACUAGGGUGAAUAAGAAGUCGAGAGGGUCCAUUGGUUUCGGGCCCAAUGCAUGGUAGUAGCUGAAUCUUAAAUCACACAUACAGAUCUCAGUGCUUAAGGUCGGCUUCAAUGAAACUACCCACCAUGUACUCCUACAUGGCCUCUCAUCGAUACCUUUACCAAAUCGUGUUCACCACACCACUCUCAUUACCGACAUAAUCAUUUCACUCUAAUCCAUCACCCCGAUGAACCAGACCUGGCACGACUCUAAGCAUAGCAGGCAUAGCAAGGUAGGAACAACACAUACAUAUGGCUCAAUCAACUCCUACACAUGCUAGUGGGUUUCAUCUAGUUACUGUGGCAAUGACAGGUCAUGCAGAGGAAAUGGGUUCAACUACCGUAACACACAGCAGUUUGAAACGCGUUGUCUUAAUGCAGUAAAAGAGAGCAGGAGCGAGAACAUGGGAUUGUAUCGAUACGAUCAAAUGGUUGGUUACUUGCCUGAUGGUUCGAUGCACUGAUACGGUUCUUCGUUAGGGUAAUCACGGUACUCCUCGGAGGCAGAACCUGCCGCAAAGAACACCGAUACACAACUAUCACAAACAAUGUGCAACAAUAUGAUGCAUGCAUGAAACAUGGCAAUAUGAGUGUGUUGGGCUAAUGCAACUAAGACCAGAAGGGUUUGAACCAAUUUGAAUCAAAGAUUCAAAUUUCAAACUCAUACAUGGCCCUUUAAAGUGUUUUUCCUUGUUCUGCAUUAAACAUCAAGUUAACUUGUUUAAUCAUGCAUGAAAAUAGUACAGAUGGAUAGAUUGGAUUUUUCUGAUCAUUUUUCAUAUAUAACUUGUCUGAUUUGGAGUUACAGAUUAGAAGUUAUGAAUUUUUGAAGUUUAAACUAUAUUCUGGAAUUUCCUAUAUUAGAUUAAAUCCAGAAAAUCAAUUUCUGCGUCAGCCUGACAUCAGUGUGACGUCAGCAGGUCAACGGGACACGUCCGGGUCAAACCUGACAGUGGGUCCCGCGUGUCAGUGUGAUUAAUUAAACUAAAAUUAAUUUAAACUAAUCCUAAUUAGUUAACAGGGCUGGGCCCCACCUGUCAUUGACUCAGGAGAGUCAACCAGGGCCCACCCGUGGUCAAACCCGGGUCGGCUGCACCAGCGUUUAGCCGCCGGCGAGCCCGACGCGGCGGCGGAAGUGGUUUUUGCCGUUCCGGCAACCAAACGAGCCGCGGAGGCCACCGGAGAGGAGCUGAGGACGAACCGCAGCUCUUGGUGGAGUCCGUUGGGGUUGGGGUGGCCGGAGUUGGCGCCGGCGACGACUUUGGCGGCCACCGGAGUUCGGCCGAAGUCGAACUUGUCGCUAGGGGGGUCGGUGAGGUGCGGGGAGUAGCUAGUUAGGUGCUACGUGAUGCGGUGAGCAUGAUGGACACCGUGGAGUGGUCGGAGGGUGACCGGGAGCACGUCGGCGACGAGCUCCGCGGCGGUGGGUGCGGUUGAGCUCCGGGAGGUCGCUACACAGCUCGGGAGCAAGAAAAGAAGGGAGGGGAAGAUGGCUAAGCUCACGGGGAGUUCGACGAAGCCCUUGGUGCGGCCGGGGACGGACCGGAGCGACGACGGCGUUGAAGGGGAUCUCCGGCGACGGCGGUUCGGGCGAGGUCGUUGCGGUGGACUCGGGCGUUGCGAGCGCUCGGGGCUUGGCUUGCUCGAUGAAGUGGACAGCGGCGGAGCUCCUGGACGCGACGAGAGGACGCACGGGCGGCGGGGAGCGCGGCUACGACGUAGGCACGGCGGCGGUAGCGUCGGCCAUGGCUGGGGGGCGCAAGGGGGAGGAGCUAGAGAGGAGAGGGGGUGUCUGGGGGGUUCGGGGAAGAGAGGGGGAGCGAUCCACGACGUCACCGGGCGAGGGGAGCGGCGAGGCGGCGAGCAGGUGCGUGGCGCACGCUGUGGUCGCCGUCGGGCACCUGCCUGCCUGCCUGGCCGGCAAGCAGCUCGCUGGAGCGACUCUGGGCUGGGCCGGCAGGUGGGCCGGGUGCUGGCGCCAGGUAAGUUUUUCUAUUUUUUUCUGUUUUCUGAUUUCUGUUUUUUAAUACUUCUGCAACUUUGUUGAUUUAUUAAAAAUACUUAGGCAACUCCUAAAAUCACCAAACUACUCCUGGUCCAUAGUUGGAUUAUUUCCAACAUGAAACAUUUUAGUUUGGAGAUAUUUGGGCAUCUGAAUAUUUUAUAUAAUUUUAAAUGCCCAAUUUCAAAUAUCUAUGAUUUAAUUCAAAGACCCUAGGAUGACCUAGGAAAAUGUGCAUCACUUUUGGCAGGGGUUCUGAACCAGGACAAAAAUGAUGGGCAUUUUAGAAGGGCAUUUCAGGUUCAUUGAAAAAGUUUUUAGUAAACCCUAGUUGGUUUCAGAGGGGGCUGGGGGUUCUCUCAUCCCCAUUUCAGGUUUCUGAUGAAAGAAUAAACAUGAUGCAACACUCUAAUGCAUGAACUAGCUAGGGUGUGACAUGGAGGCACGAUCAGGCUGAGGCUGGCUGGCUGCCUCACCAUCCGGCACAAUGUCUUCGUCGUCUUCCUCCUCCUCCUCUUCGCCCUCGUCGCUGGAGUCGAUCUCCUCCGCCGAGUCUUCACCGUCGGUCGGGUUCAGCCCGAACCAUUCCUCUAGCUGAGCGACGCCGUCUUCGUUUACCUCAGGAGCAAAGGCGCUGGUGUCAGUGAAGUCGGCGAUCGCCGAGGCACGCCGGAUAAUAGCCUGCCGCACCGCCUCCAGCUCCUCGUCAGCCUCCUGCCGCCAGGUGCGCAGCUGGUCCAAGUUCAGCCCAGGAUACCAAGCCCGGACGAAAUCUAGUGCCCGUCGAGCAUCGGACCGAGCUGCUGAAGACUUCCAGGCCUCGAGGCGGCCAUCUUCUACCUCCAGCCAGUCGGCAGUCCGGCUGGGGGUGCAGGCAAUCACCUCACCGGGCCAGAGGGCGGCCAGCACCUGCGCUCCAGCAUGCGAUAUGCCGGCUGGAGGCGGGCUUGGAUCGCCAGAAGCUGCUCUUCAAGCGACCGGUUGGCGUCCGGUGCAUUCUCAACCCCAGCCUGCCGCCGGGCCUCAUGGUGAGCUUCGAUGGCUUGGUUGGCGGCGACAGAGUAGCCGGGAAAGUAUUCUUCACAAAGAAGAAAGAAACAGAACAAAUCAGAAGAUAAACUGGAUUACAAGGACGAGCAAAGAAGUGAAGAAGAAGGCGGCCUACAGUCGAUCGAAUCUUCAACCUGGCCGUAGCCUUUGCUCAGCGCCUGCCUCGCCUUAGCCCAGGUCGCCGCCUCGGUCUCAUACUCGUCUUUGAGGGCGGCUUCGCUAUCCUGCGCCGCCUUCAAGGCCGCCUUGUGGUUCUCCUCCUGAUCGGCCAGUUUCUUGGUCAGGCGAUCACGCUCCUGAACCAAGGCAUUGAGCUCGCCCUCCCGGGUGCGAAGGGUGGUCUGGGCCACGCCUAGCUGCUGCCUCAAGUCGGCAUUGGCUCCUGCCAAUAUGAAGAAGAAGAAAUUAAGAAAGAAGUCGUCAGGAAAGAUCUGACUCGACUGCUCAGCAGUCGGCCCAAAUCUCGGGGAAUACACCCAGUGGGUGUGCUGACGUGCCCCCACAUGAGAUAAAAAGACAAAAGCACUCACGCCGGCUCUCCGUUAGAUCGGCAGCCUUCUGAUUCAUCUCCUGGGCCUGGGAGUUGAAGGUAGCGGCGUGGAGGUUGUGGUAAUCCUGCAAAUAGGACGAAGGUGCAAGCAAGAGCAAAUCAUUAAAUCAAAGUCUUCUGAGAAGUUUCGAGCCGCCUGCUCAGCAGCUGACUUGGAACUCGGGGACUACAUCUAGUGGGUGUGCUGACGUGCCCCCACGGAAGAAAUUAAGAGCAAAAAGACUCACCUGGAUGACCGACCGCGUUGUAAGAAACUCUUGGGUACACAACUUCAGCGCGGUGGCCUGAGCUUGAAGCCGGCUCCGGACAUCCUGUGCUGCCAGAUUCAGCGCGGCUAUUCACAGGUACACAUGUCUGCUGCUGAAUCACUAGGUUCUCAUCAACUUAACUCAUUUGCAGCGUUCCUCGAAGAAAAGUUGCAUACCUCUUCAGAAACUUCAGUUGUUCAUCCUCAGCUGAAGAAAAUGGCUGACAGUAAGAAACCACAGAAGGAAGGAAAGAGGCCUGAGGUUAAUACUGCGUUUGAAAUCCCUGAGGACAUUUAUGCUAGAUACUGCAUUCCUGAUGAGGCCAUGUUUGGCAAGGAGGACAAGAAUCAGCGCAAGGUGCGCAUACAACAUAUUGAGAGGAGAUGGGCACGAGAAUGGAGGGAGUACAUGUAUGUUACUCCCAAGUACAUGAAGAAAUUCACGCUCAACCCUCCAUGCUCAAGACCACCAUUGAGACCUGGCCAACUGGCGGAUCCCACCAGCCUCAAGCGUGGUGAGGACUAUGCUGAUGAAUGGGCAAGGCGCUAGGCCAAACUGACCAAGCAAGCAAAAGAAGAAGUGAGGAAAUUCAAUGAAGAUUCUGCUGCUGCUGCUAACGCUGCUGACGCCUCUGGUAGUAAGCCCAGGAAGGCUAUGCCAAAGAAGCCUGCCCAAAAGUCCAGUGCUUCUCCUUCAAUGCCCUCACGGCCAAGCUCCUCAGAAAUGCCCUCAAGGCCAGUAUCUUCAAAGCCCUCACGGCAAAUUCCUCAGUCUGCUCCUCCUCCUCCUCCAAAGUCCUCAGUUCCUCGGACAAAGUCUACAGCUGCUCUGACCAAAUCUUUGGCACCUGUGCAUCUUGACACGUGCCAAAGAACAACUAGCAUCUCUAUUGCCUCAGGAGCAUCUGCUAGCUCCACUGCUGCACCAAGUUCCUCAGCCGGUCCAUCUCUGCUGAAGAAAAAGGCCACUGCUGGACGAGGCCUUCGCCCAAGUCCUCACAAGAAGCAAGUUGCCCUCCAAAUCCCCUCUGAUGACGAUGAGGCUGAUGAUGAAGAACUUGCUGGAAUCAUCAGGGAUAGGCAAGCCAAGGCCGCUAAAGCCAAAGGUAGCAAUGUGCCACUAAUUCUGGAUCCCAUGUUGAUCCUUGAUUUCAUUGACUUAUGGCACAAGGACCCCACUACACCUUUGCCAGAGAUGAACCUCACUCCUGGUCAAAGUCAUGUUCUGACUCACUUCAUUGAGGAAGAGAAGUGGAAAUAUGAAGAAGGAUGAAGGCUGAAGAAAGUGCAGUACAAGAAACAGCGCUAUGUCAAGGACAAUGUCCUCACGCUUACUCCUGAACAACUCAUUGUUGUACAAGCUGAAAUCAAGAAAUUGAGUGAUGAUUUCAAUUGGUACUAUGCUGAUUGGAAGGGCACCAAGGUGCGUUUCGUCAAUCUGACAAAGAAAUUCACCUCAAGUGCUGCUCCACCUAUGCACGUUGAAGUUACUUAGGCUGAGGCAUCUGCUCAGCCUACUGAAGAACUUGCCAGCACCGCUGAUGACAUUCAGGCUACUGAAGAAAAUGAGAGUGCCAGGGCUGAUGACUCCAUUCCAGCCGCUCAAGAUAUUGCCAGGGCAUCCACUAGUGAUGCGCCUGAGGAAACUGAACAAAUCAGGACAACUGUAUCAGUUGUGCCUGAGGAAAAUGAACCAAAGUCCAAUGCACCUCCUGCACCUACCCCAACUCCAAGCCUUCCAUCUACAUCAGAUGUGAAGAAGACCAAGGCUAUAGAGCGUGCAGCAAUGAAAAAGAGGAAGGGAUCAGCUUCAUCAGAUUCUUCAGCUUCGAAGAAAUGAAGCUUUUGACAAGUUCAGCUGCAAAUCCUAUUCAUGUCGUUCCUGUCUCCUUCAUGCCAUCAAAAGACCUUGUUCCGUUUGGUGAAGACUAUGAGAUUCCUGAGGAAUCCGAUGAAGAAACUCCUUCUGCUGCUUCGACAGAGCAGUUGGAUGAAGAAAUUGAAGUGGAUAGAAUCCCUUCAACCCCAGUCAUCUCCUCACCUAUGCCUUAGUUCACUGCUGAAGAGGCGGGUGUUGAAGAAAUGGAAGAUGAGGAUGUGGACAUCGGAUGUACCACACCAAUACUGAAUGAUGACUUUUGGGAAAGUCAGCACCCCAACUCUUUGUUGUUCACUCCUCUCCAAGCUGUUCCUUAGUCCCCAUCCACUACUGAAGUACAGGUGGGAUGUGCUGAACCUCGUGCGACCCCAUUUGUCCAUGAAGAAAUUCCAGCCACUAGUGCUGAAGAAAAUGUGAAUGAAGAAGUGAUGACCCAGGCUGCAGCUGCAGAAGAAACUGAAAUUCCUCAGCAUGAGGAACCUGAGAUUGCGAUUCCUGAGGUGGUACUGCAGAUCACUGACACCCCUCAACCCAAGCCAAAGAAUCCCAUCUCCAAGAAGCCAAAAUUCAAGGCUGAUGAUUUCUUCGGCGAGCAUGUGUUCUUCAUUGAUUUUAACCCAUAUGACAAUGCUCGUCUUAGAAGGAAGCGCUUCUGGACUGCCAGCUAGGCCAACUUCUAUUCCUCAGUUCUCUUUGACAAGGACAAAGUCUUCGACCACGAGGACAUUCCUCACGUGGACAUGGAAUAUAUGCCUUGCUUCACGCCGGCCCUCAGUAUGCUUCACGAUGCAGGUCUCCUUUACUUUUGCACUGGCAUCAUUGACUGGAAUGAAGAGCUAAUUCUUUAAUUCUAUGCAACACUACAUAUCACUGGUGAAGCACAUGACAUCAACUCCUGGGUGUUGGACUGGAUGACCGAAAACACUCAUUACAAGGCACCAGCCUCUGAAUUGCUUCGUGCCUUGCCAACCAGUCCUCCACCAGAAGGCGCUCGCUGUCUGUAUGAUGAACCUGAACGCACUGACCACUAUAUGCAAGUUCUCAUGAAGUCGCUGAAGCCUGCACAAGCCCAAAGGACCAAAUUCCUCGUGAAGGAUUUGUUGUAUGUACCAAGGACCAUCUAUCGCAUUCUGAUGAAGACUAUCAGUCCAAUCAAAGGUCAUGAUUCAUCAGAUGAAGAAAUUGUGGGGAUGAUGAAGAAUAUGCUCUUCAACAUCAUGCAUGGUAUCCCUAUAAAUUACCAUGAUUUCUUCAUGAGGACUCUAGCGAAUGUUGCACUUUCACCGUUUUAGCUGAAGCCUUAUGCUCCAUGGAUCAUGAGAUUCCUCAGAUCAAGGUCUUCACUCAACUACAAGGCUGAUACUCUUAACCGUGGCAGCUACUUGCCCCCUAUUGAAGUCCUCAAACGGACAUAUUCCUCAUCUGAAAGAAAGGGCAAGGCACCUGCUAUUAUCGAUGAAGGCACUCGUCCAUUGGAUGGUCAGUUCCGCAAAGCUGCAUCUUACUCCACCAAUGAUGACUCUGUCACUCAUGAUACUGCUGUCAAUGCUACCAAGACAAGUCCUCAAGCUACUCCUCCUCGUGUGCUGACUGAUCGUGAACUACUGAUAAGUCUUCACCAGAAGGUGGAUCGAAACCACAAGUGGGUUAAGUGUCAGUUUGUCUCUAUUCUUCACAACAUCACUUCUACACAUAAUGUAGUGAAGAAAAGCCACUACUACCUCCAUGAAGUGUUUGAUCGCGCCUGGGCUAUUCUAUCACAUCUAUAUGGUGAAGAAGAUCUGAAGCAAAUGGGCUUCAAGGAAGACUUUGAUUGGUCUGCACCUCCACCAAAGAGAUUAAAGAAAGUCUAGGUUCCUUCCUUGGUGGCCAGCUCAUAUUCUUCUUCACGCACCACGGACGAGCAUGAAGACUUGGAUGACGCUGCAGCAGGCACUAGAACGACUCAAGACCCUGACAACGCUAGCGCUCCUCCAUCAGCCUGAUAUUCUUCAGGGGCAUUAGUCCUCAGUUUCAACCCUUUUGGUCGUUCGAUGACAAAGGGGGAGAAAUUUGAGUUAGUCUUCAAGCGGGUCUAUCUUAUAUGGGCAUUUUUUUGCUAAGUUACAACUCUCGUUCUUCUGAUGACUUUGCUGGAUCGAGUUGUAAUCUUAAACUCUAUGGUGACCUAAUACUUUUGUUGUGUUCUUUUGCAUGCUUAUUCCUCUUUAAUGUUAAUGCAUGCAUGCUGAAUUACAUCAGUCGCCAUAUUUCAUCAUGCAUUUCAAAUUCUUCAUAUUAUAUAUCAAAUUCGUGCAUGAAUUACAAGAUAUAGGGGGAGAUCUCCAUGAUUAUACUCUUCAAGUGUGCAUUGCUUCAAAAGCAAAUUCCUCACUAUGCACAUCUUCAGGGGGAGUUCUUCUAUAUCUUGCAAUCAAAUUCCUCAAUAUCAGUAUUUACACUUCACAUGUUUAUCCCCGUUGAAAACUUAACCUAUAUUGUCAUCAAUCACCAAAAAGGGGGGAUUGUAAGUGCAUCUAGUGCCCCUUAGUGAUUUUGGUGUAUUGAAGACUUAUAGGUUAAGGGACUGAUGCAUUUGUGAGUGUACACAGGUCUAUAAGUCUAUGAGGAGUUUGAUAUUUACAGAGAAAGUCAACCCCUAAAAAUGAAGUUCUUCGACUGAAGACUUUGGAUUUCUGAAGACUUUGAAAGUGAAGAAAUUGGUGUGACCUUGAAGACUUGGUAAUCAUUCGAGGAACAUGAAGCAUGAAGACUCUUGUUUUUACUGUUUCAUUUUCUCUUUCUUGAGUCAUAGGAAACACCGUACUGUUAAAGGGGGUCGAGGAAAUACUAAGAAAAAAUUUCCAUGUGAUGCUCAACUCAAAAUCCUACACCUACCAAUCCCUUCGAGUGAAUCCAUUGGAAAUCUCGCACAGUUUAGUCAUAUUCUUCAAUGACAGAGACGAAGUUCUUAUGGCCUCUGAGGAAUUUGUUCUGACUGAAGAGUUAGGAAUUCACCAGUGUGGAUUGCCUAUGAAGUGAGGAACAUGAUAGCCCUGAGGAAUCCAAACCUCAAAUAUUUCGACCGUUGCUGUGCUAUGCGCCAGCUGUCCCAAAAUAUCUACCCACCUAACGGUCAUAUCAGACAAGGGCAUUUAUGUCUUAUCAUGUCGGGUUGCUCCCCGGCUAUAAAUAGCCGCCCCCUACAACCACUAGUUGGUUGGCUGCUCUGAGAGAAACUGACACUUGUCAUUUGAGAGCAACCCGUCCUCCGAGGACUUUGAGUGAAAAUCAUCAAGUAAGGAAAUCCCAAACCCAAACCUACAAAACCCCAAAGUGAUUGAGCAUCACUGAAGAGAUUGAUCCUGCAUGGAUCCGACGCUUGUUUCCUUUGAAGACUGUGCUUCUUCCAGACGGUUAGGCGCCAAGGUCUAGAGCAUCCAAGAGGAAUUGUGGAUCGCCGAGUGACCGAGUUUGUGAAGGUUCAGAAGUCACCUGAAGACUUACCACGAAUGAUUGGGCGAGGUUUGUGUGACCUUAGCUCAAGGAGAAUACAGUGAGGACUAUGUGUCCGGGACUGUGUGUCCUCGAGUUUAAAUACUCAGCCGCUCCAACCAGAUGUACAACUGAGAUAGCAGUUGGAUUUGGUCUACCAAAUCAUUAUCUUCACCAAGCUUACUGGUUCUAUUUCCACAACUCUUUAAUUUCCUCAUCUUUGUUCUUGUGUGCUUGUUCAUAUCUGUUUGAAGACAUUGACUGAAGACUUUCUCAAUUUCCUCAGUUCCAUUUCUUCAGUCUGUCCGUCUUCUUCCUUGUGUUAUCCUAUGUUUACGCUUUCUGUACUCUGUGCUUGUCUUCAUUUCAUCAUGAUGAUUAUGCUUGUGUUCUGUUAUGUUCCUUUCUGAGUACUUAUUCCGCUGCAAGUAGUUCUUCAUUUAGGAAUUUCCUCACCAGCAAAUUCCUCAGUGAAGAAUUCAUAAAAAUCGCCUAUUCACCCCCCCCCUCUAGUCAAUAUAAUGCACUUUCAAACUCUUCGGUAGAAACUUUGGGGCACUCUUUGAAGUACUUUGUGUUGGUCGAAUAGAUGAAUCUGAGAUUGUGUGAUGCAUAUCGUAUAAUCAUGCCCACGGAUACUUGAGGUGACAAUGGAGUAUCUAGGUGACAUUAGGGUUUUGGUUGAUUUGUGUCUUAAGGUGUUAUUGUAGUAUGAACUCUUGAAUAGAUUGAUCCGAAAGAAUAACUUUGAGGUGGUUUCAUACCCUACCAUAAUCUCUUUGUUUGUUCUCCGCUAUUAGUUGCUUUGGAGUGACUCUUUGUUGCAUGUUGAGGGAUUGUUAUAUGAUCUAUCUGUGUUAUUAUUGUUGAGAGAACUUGCACUAGUGAAAGUAUGAACCUUAGGCCUUGUUUCCUACCAUUGCAAUACCGUUUACGCUCACUUUUAUCAUUAGUUACCUUGCUGUUUUUAUAAUUUCAGAUUACAAAAACCUUUAUCUACCAUCCAUAUUGCACUUGUAUCACCAUCUCUUUGCCGAACUAGUGCACAUAUACAAUUUACCAUUGUAUUGGGUGUGUUGGGGACACAAGAGACUCUUUGUUAUUUGGUUGCUGGGUUGUUUGAGAGAGACCAUCUUCAUCCUACGCCUCCCACGGAUUGACAAAUCUUAGGUCAUCCACUUGAGGGAAAUUUGCUACUGUCCUACAAGCAUGUGCACUUGCAGCCCAACAACGUCUACAAGAAGAAGGUUGUGUAGUAGACAUCAAGCUCUUUUCUGGCGCCGUUGCCGGGGAGGUGAGUGCUUGAAGGUAUAUCUUUAGAUCUUGGAAUCAAAUCUUUUUGUUUCUUGUUUUAUCACUAGUUUAGUCUAUAAAAGAAAACUACAAAAAAUGGAAUUGAGUUUUGUCUCAUAUGAUUCAUCUUUUUAAUAUCUUUUGUGAGAAUGAUGGUAAGGAAAAUUGUGCUCAAGUGCUAGAAGAAGAAAUCUAUAAACUGUUUGGCACUAAAUUUGAAUUAUGAGCAUGAUUGCAAUGUUAUUAGUAUGAAUUCUUUGAAUACCUAUGAUGCUAAUGAUAUGCAAAGCCACAAGCUUGGGGAUGCUACAUUUAAUGAAGAUGAUAUUUUUAGUUUCCCAAGUUUUGACAUGCAAAGUUGUUAUGCUGAUAGCAUGCCUCUUACCUAUGAUGAUUAUACUGAUGAAAGUGGGUUUGGAAGAGUGUCAACUUUAGGAAGUAGUGAUCCCAAUAUUUUGGAAGAUGUUGAAUCUUAUUGUGAUGAAUAUGAAAGUGGAUUUGGAAGAGUGUCAACUUUAUUUAGUGAUGAUUCCACUAUCUUGGAAGAGGUUUCAAUCGAUUAUGAUGAGAACAAAGUUGCUACUUAUGAUGAUUAUUGUGAUGAAACUUAUGCUAUAAAAAGUAGUGAUGAUUAUAUUUAUAAAACUUGUCAUGAUUAUGAUUACCCUUUUUCUGAACAUUACUCUUUUAAUGUGGAAACAAUUUUUAGUGUUCAAGUCUCUUAUGAUACUCCCACCAUUCCGAAUGAGAAAAAAAUUCUUAUGUGGAGAGUAGUAAAUUUUCUAUGCUAGUAGAUCAUGAAAAGAAUGCUUUAGGUGCUGGUUAUAUUGUUAAAUUCAUUCAUGAUGCUACUGAAAAUUAUUCUGAGGUAGGAACAUAUGCUUGUAGGAAUUGCAAUAAUAUAAAGUUUCCUCUAUAUGUGUUGAAAAUUUUGAAGCUAUGUUUGUUUUACCUUCCUAUGCUAUUUGACUAUUGUUCCCAUAAGUUAUUUGCUAACAAAAUACCUAUGCAUAGUAAGUGGGUUAGACUUAAAUGUGCUAGUCAUAUUCUUCAUGAUGCUCUCUUUAUCUUUCAAUUCUUAUCUUUUAUGUGAGCAUCAUUUCAUCAUGCCUAGCUAGGGGCGUUAAACGAUAGCGCUUGUUGGGAGGCAACCCAAUAUUAUUUUUGUUCCUGUUUAGUAACAAAUAAUUCAUAUAGCCUCUGUUCAGAUGUGGUUUCAUGUUUUAAUUAGUGUUUGUGCCAAGUAGAACCUUUAAGAAGACUUGGGUGAAGUCUUUAUGAUCUUGCUGUAAAAAACAGAAACUUUAGCGCUCACAAGAUUAGUUGCCAGUUUUUACUGGAGAGUGAUUUUAGGUUGACUCUUUUUGAAGAUGAUUAAUAGAAAAAUUACUCAGGUCCACCAAUUUAUUUCAUAAUUUGUGGGUAUCCAUAAGUAUAUGUUUGAUACAGAUUACUACAGACUUUUCUGUUUUUGACAGAUUCUGUUUUCUAUGUGUUGUUUGCUUAUUUUGAUGAAUCUAUGAGUAGUAUCGGAGGGUAUGAACCAUAGAGAAGUUGGAAUACAGUAGGUUUAACACAAAUAUGAAUAAAUAAUGAGUUCAUUACAGUACCUUAAAUUGGUGGUUUGUUUUCUUAUACUAACGGAGCUUACGAGUUUUGUGUUGAGUUUUGUGUGGUUGAAGUUUUCAACUUUUGGGUAAAGAUUCGAUGGACUAUGGAAUAAGGAGUGGCAAGAGCCUAAGCUUGGGGAUUCCCAAGGCAGCCCAAGGUAAUAUUCAAGGACAACCAAAAUCCUAAGCUUGGGGAUGCCCCGGAUGGCAUCCCCUCUUUCGUCUUCGUUCAUCGGUAACUUUACUUGGAGCUAUAUUUUUAUUCACCACAUGAUAUGUGUUUUGCUUGGAGUGUCAUUUUAUUUUAUUAGUAUUUGAUUUCUGUUAUUUAGAAUAAUUUCUUGCAUCUAUAUUUUCAAUAAAAAUGUCAAGGAUAGCCUUUACCAUGCUUAUUUUGCUAGUAUACAUGUUGCUGUUUGAAAACAGAAAGUUUACCGCUGUUGCAAAAAUUCCCUAGAAAAGUUGGAGAGUGAUAUAAUGUUGAAUCUUUUUGCAUAUUGAGAUAUGAUAAAUCUCCUACAGCUUAGUAUUUUUCUUAUAAUUUUUAGAGUUAGGGAAGUAUGAUUAAUCUUGCAUUCUUUACGGACUAUACUGUUUUGGAAGAUUGCUGUUAUGGUUGCAUUGUUUGCAUAUGUUUGCUUGUUUAAUGAUUCUAUUUGAGGAUAGGAGUGUUAAAUAUGCAGAGACAUUUAGUAUGAAAUGUUGAAUAAUAAUUUUAGUGAUUUGUUACAGUAGAAAAUGAUAGGGUUUUGCAUUGGUUUAUACUAACGUAUCUCACGAGUUCUUGUGGAGUUUGGUCUGGAUGAAGAUUUUGAUAAAAAGAGAAACCAUGAUAUGAGAGGAAUUAAGGAGACACAAAAUCUCAAGAUUGGGGAUGCCCAAGGCACCCCAAGACAAUAUUCCAAGAAGUCUCAAGCAUCUAAGCUUGGGGAUGCCCCGUUAGGCAUCCCACCUUUCUUCUUCAACAACUAUCGGUUAGUAUCGGUUGAGCCUAAGUUUUUGCUUCUUCACAUGAGUUGUGCUAUCCUUGCAAUGUCAUUUUAUUUUGUUUUGCUUGCUGUUUGAAUACAACACCAAGAUGUUAAAUUAGUAAAUGAGAGAGUCUUCACAUAGUUACAUAAUUAUUUAGCUACUCAUUGAUCUUCACUUAUAUCUUUUUAGAGUAGUUUGUCAUUUACUCGUGUGCUUCACUUAAAUCCUGUGAGUAAAUGGUUGAAUGAGUUGAAUGUCAUAAAUCUGAAAUUAUAUAUGUUUCAUAUGCUUAUGCCAUGGGGAGUAAUGACUUCACAUAUAAGAAGUAGAGGUUGUAAAUUUAUUGGAGGUUAUCAAGCAUUGUAUUGGUCAUUUGAACUAUUCAUGAAAGAAUAUUGAAGGAAGAGAGAUUUCACAUAUAAAUAUAUUAUCAUAGACAUCUUUUAUAAUUGUGAGCACUCAUUAAGUAUGACAUGCUAAAGAGUUGAUGUUGGACAAGGAAGACAAUGUAAUGGGUUAUGUUUUCUCACAUCUCAGUUAAAGUAUAUUGUCAUGGAUCAUUCAAACAUGUUGAGCUUGCCUUUCCCCAUCAUGCUAGCCAAAAUUCCUAGCACCAAGUAGAGAUAUUACUUGUGCUUCCAAAUAUCCUUAAACUAGUUUUGCCAUGAGAGUACACCAUACCUACCUAUGGAUUGAGUAAUAUCCUUCAAGUAAGUUGUCAUCGGUGCAAGCAAUAAAAAUUGCUCUCUAAAUAUGCAUGACUUAUUAGUGCGGAGAAAAUAAGCUUUGUACGAUCUUGUUAUGGAAGCAAUAAAAGAAACGGACUGCAUAAUAAAGGUCCAUAUACAAGGGGCAAUAUAAAGUGACAUUCUUUCGCAUUAAGAUUGUGUGUAUCCAACCCUAAAAGCGCAUGGCAACCUCUGCUUCCCUCUGCGAAGGGCCUAUCUUUUACCUUAUGUCUUUUACAUUAUGCAAGAGUCACGAUGAUCUUCACCUUUCCCUUUUUCAUUUUAUCCUUUGGCAAGCACUUUGUGUUGGGGUGAUCCUGAUAUAUAUAUCCAAUUGGAUGUAAGUUAGCACGAACUAUUAUUGUUGACAUCACCCAAAGGUGAAUACGUUGGGAGGUGAAAUUAUAAGCCCCUAUCUUUCUCUGUGUCUGAUUAAAACUCCAUAACCACAAGUAUUGCAUGAGUGUUAGCAAUUAUAGAAGACUAUAUGAUAGUUGAGUAUGUGGAGUUUGCUAAAUCAAAGCUCUGACAUAGACCCUUCUAAAAAUAAGAUGAAUUGCAAUUGUUUGAUGACUAAGAAUGAAGUUUGCUAGUUUUCAAGAAAGUUUAUGGUCUAUGCUUUAACAUGUGAAUUUCUUGUUACUGGUUCGUGAGAAGUUUUAUGAGAUGAACUAUUGUCAUGACAUAUAAACAUGCUAGAAAAGGUGAUUGAAAUUAUCAUUGAUCAAACCUGUGCACCUGCUAGCAUUCACACUUCAUAAAUUGUUUCUUUUAUCACUUACCUACUCGAGGACGAGCCGGAAUUAAGCUUGGGGAUGCUGAUACGUCUCCAAUGUAUCUAUAAUUUAUGAAGCAUUCAUGCUAUUUUAUUAUUUGUUUUUAAUGAUUAUGGGCUUUAUUAUUACUUUUGGGACUAACCUAUUAACCGGAGGCCCAGCCCAUAUUGUUGUUUUAUUGCCUGUUUCAGUAUUUCGAAGAAAAGGAAUAUCAAACGGAGUCCAAACGGAAUGAAACCUUCGACAUCGUGAUUUUUGGGAAGAAUAUGAUCCGGGAGACUUGGAGUUCACGUCAGAAGAGCCUCGAGGAGGACAGGAGAUAGGAGGGCCCCCCCCCACUGGGCACGCCCCCUGUCUCCUGGGACCCUCGUGCACCCCCCGACCAACUUCUUUCGCCUAUAUAAGUCCAUGUACCCUAAAAACAUCGAAAACGAAGAUAGAUCGGGAGUUCCGCCGCCGCAAGCCUCUAUAGCCACCAAAAACCUCUCGGGAGCCCAUUCCGGCACCCUGCCAGAGGGGGGACCCCAUCACCGGUGGCCAUCUUCAUCAUCCCGGCGCUAUCCAUGACGAGAAGGGAGUAGUUCACCCUCGGGGCUGAGGGUAUGUACCAAUAGAUAUGUGUUUGAUCUCUCUCUCUCUCUUGUGUUCUAUCUCGUGUUCCCUCUGUGGAACGAUCUUGAUGUAUCGCGAGCUUUGUUAUUGUAGUUGGAUCUUAUGAUGUUUCUCCCCCUCUACUCUCUUGUAAUGGAUUGAGUUCUCCCUUCAAAGUUAUCUUAUCGGAUUGAGUAUUUAAUGAUUUGAGAACACUUGAUGUAUGUCUUGCCGUGCUUAUCUGUGGUGACAAUGGGAUAUCAUGUGCCACUUGAUGUAUGUUUUGGUGACCAACUUGCGGGUUCUGCCCAUGAACCUAUGCAUAGGGGUUGGCACACGUUUUCGUCUUGACUCUCCGGUAGAAACUUUGGGGCACUCUUUGAAGUACUUUGUGUUGGUUGAAUAGAUGAAUCUGAGAUUGUGUGAUGCAUAUCAUAUAAUCAUGCCCACGGACACUUGAGGUGACAAUGGAGUAUCUAGGUGACAUUAGGGUUCUGGUUGAUUUGUGUCUUAAGGUGUUAUUCUAGUACGAACUCUUCAAUAGAUUGAUCCUAAAGAAUAACUUUGAGGUGGUUUCAUACCCUACCAUAAUCUCUUUGUUUGUUCUCCGCUAUUAGUUGCUUUGGAGUGACUCUUUGUUGCAUGUUGAGGGAUUGUUAUAUGAUCUAUCUAUGUUAUUAUUGUUGAGAGAACUUGCACUAGUGAAAGUACGAACCUUAGGCCUUGUUUCCUACCAUUGCAAUACCGUUUACGCUCACUUUUAUCAUUAGUUACCUUGCUGUUUUUAUAAUUUCAUAUUACAAAAACCAUUAUCUACCAUCCAUAUUGCACUUGUAUCACCAUCUCUUCGCCGAACUAGUGCACCUAUACAAUUUACCAUUGUAUUGGGUGUGUUGGGGACACAAGAGACUCUUUGUUAUUUGGUUGCAGGGUUGUUUGAGAGAGACCAUCUUCAUCCUACGCCUCCCACGAAUUGAUAAACCUUAGGUCAUCCACUUGAGGGAAAUUUCCUAUUGUCCUACAAACCUAUGCACUUGCAGGCCCAACAACAUCUACAAGAAGAAGGUUGUGUAGAAGACAUCAAUGAGCAGUACUUUUCGCCAGGUCCGCAUACGCGUCUGCAGCACUCCAUAGCUGAUCCAGAGGGGCAUACUUCGGAUCUCGAAACUUCAUCCGCAACAAAAAGGGCCUCCCAUCCAUGAUAUCUCCGGCUUGUCGAAGCUCCUCCCGUGCAGCUCUAUUUUCAGAGCGUGUUUCCUUGGCUGCUUCCAAGGCCUUCUUCAUGUCAGCCGCUUUCGCUUGGCUCUCCUUUUCAAGGAGCUCAUAUUGGCUGGCGGCAUCUUUUAGCUCAACAGCCAUCUUGGCUAUUUUGUCUUCACUCUGGCAAUGAGCAGCCUGCUCGGCUCUUAACUCUUCGGCCACCUUCAGGGCGGCCGCAUCACUUCUCCUAGCUUGUUCCUUGGCUAGGGCAAGUUCCGCCCGAAGGGCCUCCACGGCAGCAGCUCCAUCUGCAGCCACAGCAUAUUAUAGAUACUAGCAUCGUGCUCCUUUUAAAAUAUUUGCUGACAAUUCACAAAAUAAACACAUACCCUGUGCCUCGUCAAGCCGUUUGUUCACAAGUGCGAUGUCGGCAUCCGCCACAUCAAGUUGUCGCCUCAGUUCGGCGAAUUCAUCAGUCCGGUCAACCGUUGGACACUUAGCCGUCUGCAAAUAACGCAGCGCGAGCAUUACUUGGGAGUAUGAUCCUACAUUUGCCGCCUCAGGUUGGCAACCAGAGUCUCACGGGCUACUAUCUAUACAGAGCACACCUAGCGUGUGCGGUAUAGCUGAAAGUUUACAUAUUUCUUUGCGUACCUCAAAGCCUUUGAGCAGGCUCGUAAAAGCUUCAUUCAACCCGUUUUUGGCGGAUGAAAACCUCUCAAACACCGUACUCAUUAAAGUAUGGUGCGCCUCUGAUAUAGUCGCUUGGUCCAGAAGGCCCGUCAGUGUGUCCGACUCGGUGUUGGACAAUCCCGGACUCUUCUUGUUGCUCUCCCUGGGAGCCGAAUACUCCGGGCUUCGGGCGGCCGAAGCAUUAACUUCUCGCCUUAGUGGAUCAGGAGAAAUCCUCUGUGACCACACCUCGGGGUCGUCCGUCCCAUGGGGCAGGGAGGCAGGAGGAGGCAUUUUGCUCUCCAUCAUCUCCGGAACAAGAUCCCCAGAAGACGAACUCUGUUGAGAAGGGCUAUGAUCCGGACUGCAAGUUAGGUCUCGGUUAUUAUUCUCAGAGAUAAAGCAGGACAUGUUUAUCACAUUACUUUUUCACUUACAGCUCGGUGGAGGGCUGGCCCGUUUGCAGGCACUGUGCGGUGAGGACGCCCUCUGGGGCAGGGCUCCCAGGCUAGGGUUUCUUCCCUUGUUUGGGCACCUCCGUUUUCCAAGUCUUCGGAGGCGGCCCUCUUCUUCCCGUGGGGGUAGGGAAUUUUAGAUUCACCUCCCCGAUUAUCCUCCUCCGUGGAGACAUUAAUCCCCCCAGUUUGGAUGUGCAAUGUAUGAAGCUCGCUUUUGGCUUCUCUACUCUUCCCUUCAUCCUUCCCCGAUGGCACUUGAUAGGGUGCGCGUUUAAGCAUCCUGGUUAAUGCAGGAUUCGGUGAGCCUUCGGGGAGAGGGGCCGGACACCUAAUCCUCUCCGCCUUACUUAGCCAAUCCUGGACGCGGAUAGUUUUCCGAAUAAUGUUAUGAUAAACAUGAACAGCGUGUUCGGUUGCAGAGUUACUUACUUGGGUAUCUAGACGAUUGCAGUUCAAGCCCACAUCCUCGGUGGUGUCCAAACACUUUAUUCGUGAUCCAAAAUAUAAGCAAUACAUCCCUUCGAGCGUCAUGCUAAAGAAGUGUUGAAUAGUUCGUGGUCCUUCUUGGUUGAACUCCCACAUCUGGAGAGGUCGACGUUUGCACGGCAGGACCCGACGGACUGGCAUUACCUGAAUUAUUUUGAUGAGACUGACAUCCCUCUCAAGAAGAUCCCAAAUACGGCUUUGCAAUGUUGGUACGUCAUUAGCAGUCCCCUAGCCCAGUCCCUCGUUGACCCAUGAUGCCAGUUGAGGUGGAGGGCCCGAGCAGAAGGCAGGGGCGGCCGCCCACUUUGUGCUCAGGGAGCUGUGAUAUAGAACCACCUCCAUUGCCAUAAAUCGGACACCUCCGAGAAGGAACCUUCUGGCCAUGGGGCAUCAACGCUUUUGCUUAUUAUAGCGCCUCUCACUCCGCAUGUCGCCCGUCGAUCACCUUCGGCUUUACAUUGAAGGUCUUGAGCCAUAGACCGAAGUGUGGGUGAUGUGGAGGAAGGCUUCGCACACGACGAUAAACGACGAGAUGUGAAGGAUGGAAUCCGGAGCUAGAUCUUGAAAAUCUAGCCCGUAAUAGAACAUGACCCCUCUCACAAAGGGAUCCAGACUAAAGCCCAAGCCUCGGAGGAAGUGGGAAAGAAAUAUGACACUCUCGUUGGGUUCGGGAGUGGGGAUGACCUGCCCUUGGGCAGGAAUACUACAGGAAUCUGGUACUUUGCCAUCAGCAAUAGCGGACAGCAAAGGCUGGGAUGGCGGACGGCAAAGGCCUUUGCCAUCUACCGCUGACGGCAAAUAGCUCCGGCAAAGACAGGGUCGGCAAAGGCCUUCUUUGUCGUCUGUUUUUUGCUGCGGACGGCAAAGAGGCCUUUGCCAUCAGUGGCAGACGGCAAAGGGCAUGGCUCUUAGCCAUCUGCUGGUAGAAGACAAAGGGCAUGACUCUUUGCCAUCUGCUGGCAGAUGGCAAAGGCUGCAGGCUCUUUACCAUCUGUUGGCAGAUGGCAAAGAGACCAAAUAGGCAUUAAUUAUGUUUCUUCUUAUAUCAAUUCAUUUUCACAGAAAAUCAAACACAGAUAUAUAUAUAUAUAUAUCCAUGAACACAUAUCCAACACAUGUUACCAAUAGCCAUGAACACAUAUCCAACACAUGUUACCAAUAGUCAUGAACACAUAUAUAUCCAACACAUAUCCAUGAACACAUAUCCAACACAUAUUACAAGGAGCCAAAGGAGAGAACCAAUACCAAAGAGCCAAAGGAGAGAACCAGCACCACACUUGCACCUGGUAUUUUUCUGCAAUUAGGGCACUGCACCCACAAGCACAGGGGGCUAGUACCAUUAUAAACUGCUAAAAAAAUCACUGACGCCUCUUCACGCACAAAAAAUCCAGCUACUUGUGAGCCUAGCCUAAUUAAAUGGCCAUCUCUUUUACUUCCAUGAUAGUGGCUGAAAUGUCAGAUAUACAAGAAAGGAAAUCAUUUACUUGUGAAUAUUCUAAAUGAAGAGCAGAACCUAGAAUAUUUUGCCUUUGCUAAAAUAAAUAAAUUGAGAAUGAAGAUAAUAGUUUCAAGUGACAACUCACCAUUUCCCUUUGGUAGCACGCCAAGGAAGCUCUCUCUUGACUGUGACCCCCCGAUCAUAUUCAGUUCCGCUCCCUGCAAGCACAAGAAUUUUCUUUCUAUUCCAUUUUGCACCAUAUCUCAGCCAUCAUUCAGCAUGCAUCUGGACAACUUUGGACCUAGCAAGGUUUUUUCUACAAAGAUCAAAGUGCUAAGUAUAAGUUGUUAGGAGAAAAAGUGAAUUUUAUGGCACAUGUACUCUGUUCCCACCACAUGUAAAUUUUAGGAGGAAAAGCCAGCUACAGCCAUCAACCACAAAAUACUAACCAAUCUCCACAAAUAUGAAAAUAUUGCAAUGAAUACAUGUUGCAUGCCACUGCAGCCUGCAUCACUUCAUUAAAAACAUCACCACUUUCAUAGUAGCAAGAUACAAGCACUUACGCUUAUUCUAAAUAUACGCAACAAGCAUCCAACCAGCAGAAUGGUGAAAUGUCAGUUCAUCGAAAACUGUUUGUUUGCUCAACAAGGAGAAUAUAUCAAGGGAAAGGGUAAGAAUCUAGAUAUAUUUUCUUUUAUCUUGCAUGGCUGCUACAAGUGUGAAUCAAGCUAUACAUUGCAACUGAAAUAUGGAUUUACAUAAUGUAUAAUUGUAAGUGCAUAACAUCCAAAUGGACAGAAUGGUAGCAUAGAUGGAUAUCUAAACUAAAAUAAGCAUGUUCAAGUCUUAUCAAAUAGAACAACCAUAGGAGCAUGAUCAUGUCCUAAUACCCAAUAUUAAAGCAUAGAGCAAUGACUAGUAGAAUUUAAAUAGGAAACAUGGUUUUCCAAAACAUAAAUUCAGAUUUGUGCAGGUUGCCCAGACUAUAUGACCAGUUUAGGAAUUACUAUAAUCAAGGAAGGAGGCCUUUU
rnacentral:lncRNA from 1 species